ACCAUCUCCAAGAGAAAAACUGUGUGUGAGAGGGCCAUGGAGCGGAUCCAGAAGCUCUGCGGUUGCACAGCCAGCAGUUUCAGGCAGCAGUUAAGGAGACACGAACAUUCCAGCCAGGCACUCUCAUUCUUUGCAUCCCAGAGCUGCCUCUACAGCUCAGGGCUACCUGCAAGAAAAGCGUGUGCACAGCCACUUGGAAAGAACCUUCACCCUUCUCAGCGGACAGACAUUGUCCUUGCGACCCUUGAGAAGAUCACUGGAGACUACAGUUCUGAUGAAAAGGAGUGGGCUGAGGCUAUACUGGAUGUGGUUCGGAGAGACCCUGGAACC
rnacentral:lncRNA from 1 species